GUAGGUGUGAUAGAACCUAUCCCAGCAGGCCAGGCGGCGCGGGACUACCUGGCGCGACACGUGAACCCCACCCUCCUGGGGGGCCUGACAGAGCUCUGCAAACAGAAGCCUGAAGACCCUGUGACUUGGCUUGCAGACUGGAUGAUUGAGAACAACCCUAACAAGCCCAAGAUUAGGCAGCCGAUCAUCCAAGAGCCUGAAUAAA